rnacentral:rRNA from 1 species
AAUGAACGCUGGCGGCAUGCUUUACACAUGCAAGUCGAACGGUAACAGGCCGCAAGGUGCUGACGAGUGGCGAACGGGUGAGUAAUGCAUCGGAACGUGCCCAGUCGUGGGGGAUAACGCAGCGAAAGCUGUGCUAAUACCGCAUACGAUCUAUGGAUGAAAGCGGGGGACCGUAAGGCCUCGCGCGAUUGGAGCGGCCGAUGUCAGAUUAGGUAGUUGGUGGGGUAAAGGCCCACCAAGCCAACGAUCUGUAGCUGGUCUGAGAGGACGACCAGCCACACUGGGACUGAGACACGGCCCAGACUCCUACGGGAGGCAGCAGUGGGGAAUUUUGGACAAUGGGCGCAAGCCUGAUCCAGCAAUGCCGCGUGCAGGAAGAAGGCCUUCGGGUUGUAAACUGCUUUUGUACGGAACGAAACGGUCCGGGCUAAUACCCUGGGCUAAUGACGGUACCGUAAGAAUAAGCACCGGCUAACUACGUGCCAGCCGCCGCAGUAACAC